CGAAGAAGUAUUUCGGUAUGUAAAGCUCUAUCAGCAGGGAAGAAAGACUCGUAAGAGAGAUGACGGUACCUGACUAAGAAGCCCCGGCUAACUACGUGCCAGCAGCCGCGGUAAUACGUAGGGGGCAAGCGUUAUCCGGAUUUACUGGGUGUAAAGGGAGCGCAGACGGUCAAGCAAGUCUGAAGUGAAACCCCACGGCUCAACCGUGGGCUUGCUUUGGAAACUGUUUGACUAGAGUACUGGAGAGGUAAGCGGAAUUCCUAGUGUAGCGGUGAAAUGCGUAGAUAUUAGGAGGAACAUCGGUGGCGAAGGCGGCUUACUGGACAGCAACUGACGUUGAGGCUCGAAGGCGUGGGGAGCAAACAGGAUUAGAUACCCUGGUAGUCCACGCGGUAAACGAUGAAUACUAGGUGUUGG
rnacentral:rRNA from 1 species